rnacentral:rRNA from 1 species
GACGAACGCUGGCGGCGUGCUUAACACAUGCAAGUCGAACGGAAAGGCCCUGCUUUUGUGGGGUGCUCGAGUGGCGAACGGGUGAGUAACACGUGAGUAACCUGCCCUUGACUUUGGGAUAACUUCAGGAAACUGGGGCUAAUACCGGAUAGGAGCUCCUGCUGCAUGGUGGGGGUUGGAAAGUUUCGGCGGUUGGGGAUGGACUCGCCGCUUAUGAGCUUGUUGGUGGGGUAGUGGCUUACCAAGGCUUUGACGGGUAGCCGGCCUGAGAGGGUGAACGGCCACAUUGGGACUGGGAUACGGCCCAGACUCCUACGGGAGACAGCAGUGGGGAAUGUUGCACAAUGGGCGGAAGCCUGAUGCAGCAGCGCCGCGUGCGGGAGGUCGGCCUUCGGGUUGUAAACCGCUUUCGCCUGUGACGAAGCGGGAGUGACGGUAAUGGGUAAAGAAGCACCGGCUAACUACGUG